rnacentral:misc_RNA from 1 species
AAAUGAAAAGAACAGGCAUAGAAUGUCGGCAAGAAUAUUCUCUCUAUGAAAAAUCACCGAACAUAAGUUCUGAUUCUCAACAUACCAAUCUCAACCAAAACCCAUAUGUUCACAGAAUUGUAGAUUACAGCACAAAAGAGGCUUAGAAAACUGAUAUACACAUGGGUGAAACAUAAGGAGAUCCUAAAGUUUAGCUCCUAUUGUGCAGGGACUUGCUUGCUUUAGAUGCCAGAGCUAAUGCCUUGGCAUUUGCACUCAUCAUCAUCCACUCCCUCUCUGCACGGCGCUGAUGUUGUCGUGCAUUCUUGGCUCGUUUUGGUGCUAAGCGCGUGUCUCUUUCCACAAAUGCAAGUCUAAAUUUUUCAGCCAUGGACAACUCAGUAGGGCUUGAAAGAGAGGCAGCUACAGGUUUUGGUGCAAACCCACACAUUGCCCAUGUUUUAGGAUCAAUAUCCCUGACAAUGGGAUCAUCCAGUGGAAUGUCUGUUAAAGCUUCUGUAGGAACCAUAAUUCCUCCAAAACCAAAGGGCGACGGCUUGGGAUUUACUAUUAUACGCGGGCACUCAGUGGCCAAGAUCUCCAAUGAAUCUUUAUCAAUCUUCGGCUGAGAAAAAAACAAUAAAAAAGGUCAUAAGUUUUGAGAGGAAGAGCAUACAUAGAAGGAAUAAAUGAGGCAGGCAAAAUAUGGCCACUUUACACAGCUCUGGACAGAAUAAAUAUUUAAAAAAGGAAGAACAUUAUUUCUGCUUUGCCCAAUGAAGUGACCAGAUGUUCCGAAACCAAAAUGAUUAUCCUUCAGGCAUAACAGCAAAACAAUGAUGAUUCUAUUUGCAAAUGACAGAAUAAGUUUCUUGCUUUCUUUGAGACAUAUCUAAAAAGCACAAGACAUCAAAACAAAGGUUUUCCCAUGCAUAUGACUAUCGAACAUGAAAAUAAUUCAAGUGCACAUAUUAGAGGUAAUAGCACCAUAUAAUUUAACCUGACAUAUGCUUGAGCUGACAUUGGCCAGAUAGCCAGUAGUAAGUGCCUAAGCACCACUUGUUCUCUUCCACUUCCCCAAUCAGUUUUUCUCAGUGAGUGAAAAGAAAGGUAAAACCUCCAUACACAAGUAUACUACUAGAAGUUAUGCGGCAAGCCAGGAAGGUCUAUAGAAAAGAUUAGAGAGUGAGAACAAUCCCAUACCCACACAAGCCACCGCAGGGAUCCUGCACCAUGGCCAAUUUCAGCAGUAUCAAGUUCCUCCCACGAAUCUCCCUCCAUAUCAUUCAACUUUGGUUUCAACAUGCACAGGCAGUUGCGUGCAGUGUAGUCACUCCUUGGGCAGCCUCUGCAACAUUAACUUUGGUUCAAGCCCGCAUCUCAAAGUCUGCAAUGACUUGCAGUGCUGAAAGAGUUCAGAAACACCAACAGCAGUAAUUUUGUUGCAUCGGCUGCACAAAAAUGGUGUCAAUAUGAUUCAUAUUUCAAGAAAAUAGAUAGAAGUUUAAUUUGAAAGCACAAUUUUGCAAUUAGUAAAUAGCCGAUCAAGAGAGAGGUAAAUAUCACUAAUCACUUCGGUAAAACAAUGAAAGAAAUAAAUAGACCAAUAAAUUAAUCAAUUCAUAUUUUGUGGAGGUUCAACAAUUUAGAAAGGAAAAAAGGAAGUCCAUAAGAAAUAUAUCCAGGAGACCCAGUGUCAUUCUGGAUCCCAUCAGUCCAUAACCAUAGGUGAAUAGAAUUUUAUCCAUUAUCAUUCAAUAUACCCAUUAAGUUGUCAAACUUUUCUUUUCUUUCUUUCAAUAUUUUGUAAGUAAAAUGGUGCUCAUAUUAUAUCAUUACAUAACAAAUUCCCUUGUGCUAUCAGUAAGUAGGCAGAUUCACCAGUGCCAAAUUAUUACUGAUAUCGAUGCGACACAGGUAAUAUAACUCAGUCACUUAUAUGCAUGGCUUUAUCCAUAAGGUAAGAAAAGUCAAUUCUACUGAAAAGUCCUCGCCCAUAAGCUUUUAUGCCUCUGUCCUAUCACCUAUGGAUUUGAUAGUACUGCAAAUAUGCAAUAUAAGAAACAAGCACAUGUUCAUUAGCAAAGAAGUGGCACUAACUUGAUUGGCAAACUUGAAAUUUACCCACCUUAUAUCCACAGCUUGAAGAAAUUUGCAGAUUUCAGCCACUUUCAUUAAACCAGAGUCAGUGACAUCAGAGCCAGAAAGGUCAAGAAUUUCCCAGGAACUAUCAGCUAAAGAAACUAUUACAUCAUCAUUCAGUAAUUUUCUUCUCCUGGAAAUUCCUGCAAUUGCCAUCUUAAUAUGCGCUGGAAAGGCAAUGGAAAUCUCAUGCAAGUCAGCAAUUAUAUCCUCUAAAUGCUUGCCAACAACUCCAAGGCACAAGCUUACUAAACUUGGGGGUUCC